rnacentral:rRNA from 1 species
UACGUAGGUGGCAAGCGUUGUCCGGAUUUACUGGGCGUAAAGAGCGCGCAGGCGGUCGUUCAAGUCGCGUGUGAAAGCCCCCGGCUCAACUGGGGAGGGUCACGCGAUACUGAUCGACUCGAAGGCAGGAGAGGGUAGUGGAAUUCCCGGUGUAGUGGUGAAAUGCGUAGAGAUCCGGAGGAACCCCAGAGGCGAAGGCGGCGCUCUGGCUCGCAACUGACGCUCAGACACGACAGCAUGGGGAGCGAACGGG